UUCCAGACUCCUACGGGAGGCAGCAGUGGGGAAUAUUGGACAAUGGGGGAAACCCUGAUCCAGCGACGCCGCGUGAGUGAAGAAGUAUUUCGGUACGUAAAGCUCUAUCAGCAGGAAAGAAAAUGACGGUACCUGACUAAGAAGCCCCGGCUAACUACGUGCCAGCAGCCGCGGUAAUACGUAGGGGGCAAGCGUUAUCCGGAUUUACUGGGUGUAAAGGGAGCGUAGACGGUUACGCAAGUCUGGAGUGAAAGGCGGGGGCCCAACCCCCGGACUGCUUUGGAAACUGUAUAACUGGAGUGCAGGAGAGGUAAGUGGAAUUCCUAGUGUAGCGGUGAAAUGCGUAGAUAUUAGGAGGAACACCAGUGGCGAAGGCGGCUUACUGGACUGUAACUGACGUUGAGGCUCGAAAGCGUGGGGAGCAAACAGGAUUAGAUACCCGUGUA
rnacentral:rRNA from 1 species